CACAGCUAAUAGGGGAACACCCACAGCCCAUAGGGGUCCACCCACAGCCCAUUGGGGUGCACUCACAGCCCAUAGGAGUACACUCACAGCCCAUAGGGGUCCACCCACAGCCCAUUGGGGUGCACUCACAGCCAAUAGGGGUCCACUCACAGCCCAUAGGGGUGCACCCACAGCCCAUAGGGGUUCACUCACAGCCCAUAGGGGUGCACUCACAGCUCACUGGGGUACACCCACAGCCUAUUGGGGUACACCCACAGCCCAUUGCGGUGCACUCACAGCUCACUGGGGUACACCCACAGCUAAUAGGGGUGCACUCACAGCCCAUUGGGGUAUACUCACAGCCAAUAGGGGUACACCCACAGCCCAUUGGGGUGCACUCACAGCCAAUAGGGGUCCACCCACAGCCCAUUGGGGUGCACUCACAGCUAAUAGGGGAACACCCACAGCCCAUUGGGGUGCACUCACAGCCCAUAGGAGUGCACUCACAGCCCAUAGGGGUGCACCCACAGCUCAUUGGGGUCCACCCACAGCCCAUUGGGGUGCACCCACAGCCCAUAGGAGUGCACUCACAGCCAAUAGGGGUACACCCACAGCCCAUAGGAGUACACUCACAGCCCAUAGGGGUGCACCCACAGCCCAUAUGGGCACACGUCACCGCGGAGCAGAGCGUGGCUGUGCCACCCGUGGGACAAACAGAGCCACGUGAGGAGCAAAGGACAAUGAGGGCACAACCGCAGCCCUUCCUCCUCCUGGGGGGGUGGGGGUGCGGGGGGGGUGUGUGGGGGGGGGGGGGAGCCCCGAAGACCCCCAUUUCGCCACUCUCCCCCUCUCGGUUUGCUUUGUGAGAGCCGAAGCAUCGCCGUCACACAUCGGUCCUUCCUGACCCACACAUGGGAUGGGGGGGGGUGGGGGGGGAAAGAGGGGGGUCAGCAAAAGCAAUGAGGAAGGAAAAGGAAGGGGGGGGGGGGGGGGG
ensembl:lncRNA